rnacentral:rRNA from 1 species
AUUGAACGCUGGCGGCAGGCCUAACACAUGCAAGUCGAGCGGAGCGGCGGACGGGUGAGUAAUGCCUAGGAAUCUGCCUGGUAGUGGGGGAUAACGUCCGGAAACGGGCGCUAAUACCGCAUACUAUCGGAUUCGCCUAGUUCGGUUUAGCUGGUGGGUGGGGUAAAGGCCAACCAGGGCGCCGAUCCGUAACUGGUCUGAGAGGAUGAUCAGUCAAACUGGAACUGAGACACGGUCCAGACUCCUACGGGAGGAAGCAGUGGGGAAUAUUGCACAAUGGGCGCAAGCCUGAUGCAGCCAUGCCGCGUGUAUGAAGAAGGCCUUCGGGUUGUAAAGUACUUUCAGCGGGGAGGCGUUACCCGCAGAAGAAGCACCGGCUAACUCCGUGCCAGCCGCCGCGGUAAUUC